UUUGGUUUUUCAUUCAGAGCAAGGACGUAUAAACAAGAGCAAAAUAACUGCUCUUUUGGACCACUGCAAAUCAGAAAGGAGAAACGGCUGUUUGUGGACCACCGUCCUUGAAAAGAAGGAGAGGAAGGAGCAGUUACAGCUUUGCUUUUUGGAAAAACACAGUGAAGGGGACGCUUGACUACGGAGUUCAGUAGGUCGCCUUGGGCUCGGAGUCAGGCAGUUCCAACUCUUACAAAGCUCUCGUUGCUUUGUUGCCAGUGUUUUAAGAGACUGAGUGUUCAUAUGGUUUUGGUGCGUAUCAGGACUUUCGACAUGCCUUCUCUGGGGUGUGAUGUGAAUGAUGUAUUCAUUGCAGUAUAGCAGUGAUGAAAAACUUUGUUCUUCUGAGGCAUUGAAGGAAAGUAGAAUACAGUGCGGACUGCAUUUAAAGUUCAUCUGAUUUACGUAAUACGUAUUACGUACGAAAAAUGCAGUAUGAAGAGACCAUGAGAAAAUUAAGUGGGUUGACCUUUCACGGUGCGGUGCUCGACAUGCCCCUCACCGCCCCCCGCGCAAGGUGCGCUGCCGGGGAACGCCGGGAACGCUGAGCCACUCCAAGGAAGCAGUGCGGGAAAGGUCAAAGUACGGCACAACAU
rnacentral:lncRNA from 1 species